UGUUCGAGCGUCAUUACAACCCUCAAGCUCUGCUUGGUAUUGGGCUCUGCCAGUCCUGGCAGGCCUCAAAGUCAGUGGCGGUGCUCUUAAGCUCUACGCGUAGUAAUUUUCUCGCUACAGGGUCUUGCUAGUACUUGCCAACAACCCCAACUUAUCACAAGGUUGACCUCGGAUCAGGUAGGGAUACCCGCUGAACUUAA
rnacentral:misc_RNA from 1 species